UACGAAGGGGGCUAGCGUUGCUCGGAAUCACUGGGCGUAAAGGGCGCGUAGGCGGCCUGAUCAGUCGGGGGUGAAAGCCUGUGGCUCAACCACAGAAUGGCCCUCGAUACUGUCGGGCUUGAGACCGGAAGAGGUAAGUGGAACUGCGAGUGUAGAGGUGAAAUUCGUAGAUAUUCGCAAGAACACCAGUGGCGAAGGCGGCUUACUGGUCCGGAUCUGACGCUGAGGCGCGAAAGCGUGGGGAGCAAACAGG
rnacentral:rRNA from 1 species